UUUGGAGAUAGAAAGAUGCAGCCACAAGGAUGAUUUUAAGAUCUACAUCUUUUGUGAAAGAAUUUUUGUAUUUGAAGUUUGUAUAAAGAAGUUACAGAGUGUUGAAAAUAACAUAUGUAAUUUAGAGGUAGUAAGUAAGUCAUUUUGUUGAUAGUAAUGAUUAGAGCCAUAUCAUGAGUUUUUGGAUGAAUUUUUGGCUAAAUUUUUUAAAAUUGUAUAUUAUUGAGUUCAAAAGCUAUAUAUCAAAAUCUAUGAUAUUUGAAUAUUUAGUUUGUGACAUAUGCAGAAAUUUGCACAUAGAUGUAUAUAAGCUAAGGUUUGAAGCUACUAUUAGAAUUUUGGCAAUAUCUCAAGAUUUGUAAAGAAUUUAUAGUUAAAAUUUGUUAUGGUAGUUGUUAAAAAUACACUAGUACUUCAUGUAAAAUUUGGAUUUGUUUGGAUGGUCCAAUCGUGACAUAUGAACUAUUG
rnacentral:lncRNA from 1 species